CCGCAACGAAGCGCAACCCUUAUUACUAGUUGCCAUCAUUAAGUUGGGCACUCUAGUGAGACUUGCCGGUGAUAACCGGAGAAGGUGGGGAUGACGUCAAAUCAUCAUGCCCCUUAUGACCUGGGCUACACACGUGCUACAAUGGAUGGUACAACGAGUCGCCAACCCGCGAGGGUGCGCUAAUCUCUUAAAACCAUUCUCAGUUCGGAUUGCAGGCUGCAACUCGCCUGCAUGAAGUCGGAAUCGCUAGUAAUCGCGGAUCAGCACGCCGCGGUGAAUACGUUCCCGGGCCUUGUACACACCGCCCGUCACACCACGGAAGUUGGGAGUACCCAAAGUAGGUUGCCUAACCGCAAGGAGGGCGCUUCCUAAGGUAAGACCGAUGACUGGGGUGAAGUCGUAACAAGGUAGCCGUAUCGGAAGGUGCGGCUGGAUCACCUCCUUCUAGACUGCAGAAACCCAGAGUUUGAUCCUGGCUCAGGCUGGAUCACCUCCUUCUA
rnacentral:rRNA from 1 species